AAGAAAGUGAGUAGAAACAAGUUGCCAAAAAAAUUAUUUCUUGCUAAAAUUUAUUAUUAAACCUUUUGUCGUUACAUAUGUGUAUUAUAUUAGUCAAAAGAUUAUCCAAAAACAUAAGCCACUUUUAAACAUAUUUGAGGUCCACUUCUUGUUUAAAAUCAUCUUUUAUGAUGUCACAUGAAUUACAUUUUGACUUUUAUGGCCAACACCCUUAUGUAGAAGCUAAAUGAGCAAGUGCUUUGAAGUCUUUCUCAAUAAAUACAUUUGUACUGGUUUAUAGGUCACAGACUAAGGAUAUCAUAAGUCUAAAACUCUGCCGAUAUAACCGGAAAGGCAAGACUAGCUGAUUUCGGCAUAAGUCGAAGACUGAAGUUGGGGGAGACGACUUGCCGCACUAAUCCUGCUGGAAAGUACUGAAAAGCCAGAGAGACGCUUGAAGAGGACAGUAACAGUGGCUACAAGAGGAGUUCUGACAUUCAGCCAACUCCACAGCUGCAUCAACCCUUUUGGCUGUGAUGCUUGAAGUGUCAGACUGCUUACUGAUGCUAGACUGAGAGGCAGUACCUUAGAUGGAGCGGGCGUACUGUUGUGACGGUAGCUGAUGAAGACGCUGCCUUUCUCUAUCUUCAUCAAAAUCACUGUCCAUUGCUGUUAUACGUUCAUUAAGUAUUUUCAUAAUGUCCUUAGUUACUGCUUCACAAGAGUCCAUUUUGCGUCUUGUGUCAGGGGAUGGCAUAAUACGCUCCCUUAUUUCAUUGUACACCAUCAUGUUGUUCAAACCAUUUUCAAUGUGAUUGGCCAUUGCACACAACUUGUGCUCUGAUAAGUCAGUCUUUAGGCUUUCUCUGGAUGUUCUGAUUAGCCCUUUCCAUUGUUCAUAGAGACUUAUCAGUUUUUUUGUGCUUUUUAAUCAAUUCGUUUUCAAUUUUUUGUGAACUUUAAUCCAACCAGAUAUAUCACCAGUGUAAGAACUUUUGCCUCUUCUGAGGGGCUGCAAGUAUAUAUAAGAUAUUAACCUUAUUUGGAAUAUCAUGUUGUACUAUAUAAACUGCGCUAGCCAGAGUGCACGCGCGCCUCAUAAAACAAAAAAAAAGGGGUGUAGCUUAAGACCGUAAGUCAACUAUGGCAAUACAAUGGUUUCAAAAUAAGACAAUCGCAUUUCCUGUAUUAUAAUAUACUUAUGGUUAUUUACACAUUACUGUAUAUAUUAUUGUGUAAAUACAUGAUUGUAUAUUUUAUUGUGUAUAUAUUGUAUACAUUAUUGUGUGUGUAUAUGCGGGUGUGUAUAUAUUAUUGUAUAUAUGUUCAGGUUAGUGUUAGAUUUAGGUGUAGCCUAGCAUUAAAGAGAUGCAUCAAUAUUUAUGUAAAUUACAUAGGUUAACAAUUUAUUUUAUAUUUUAUAUUAGAUAGUGUUUUAGAUUUUCAUGAAUGUAUUUCAAUUAGAAAAACAUUUAAUAAAAAACAGUGACAGACAUGACCUAUCUGAACAAACCUAAAACAAUGAGGUUAAUUAUGAACUUAAUUAUCUCAUCCUCAUUCAGUCUAGUUAAAAUUUUGUGACUGUUUACAUCUAGAAAAAGAAACAUUUCCCAACAGAGUCCCACCAUUAUGCUUCAGACCAUCCACU